ACUUUUUUGGACAGGUGGACAGCCGGCGCGUGGUAGGAAAGCUCUCUAGCCGUGGAGUGUGAUUUGUAUCAGCGUCUCCACGGUGGAGAACCAGUACCAACCCAUUCUUGACACGACCUGGACUCAAGACAGCGGACAACAUACUUUUUUGGACAGGUGGACAGCCGGCGCGUGGUAGGAAAGCUCUCUAGCCGUGGAGUGUGAUUUGUAUCAGCGUCUCCACGGUGGAGAACCAGUACCAACCCAUUCUUGACACGACCUGGACUCAAGACAGCGGACAACAUACUUUUUUGGACAGGUGGACAGCCGGCGCAUGGUAGGAAAGCUCUCUAGCCGUGGAGUGUGAUUUGUAUCAGCGUCUCCACGGUGGAGAACCAGUACCACCCCAUUCUUGACACCACCUGGACUCAAGACAGCGGACAACAUGUGAGCGCACAGCAGUGUGAAGAGCCCCAACCUUGCAGAGACCUCUGAUGCUUUUUUUACAACUUACAUUUGCUGUAACCAU